rnacentral:rRNA from 1 species
AUUGAACGCUGGCGGCAUGCCUAACACAUGCAAGUCGAGCGGACGAAGGGAGCUUUCUCCUGUAUUCAGCUGCGGACGGGUGAGUAAUUCCUAGGAAUCUGCCUUGCCUUUGGGGAUAACGUCCGGAAACGGGCGCUAAUAUCGCAUACGUUCUGAUGUAGAAAGUGGGGGAUCUUCGGACCUCACGCUAUCUGAUGAGCCUAGGUCGGAUUAGCUAGUUGGUUGGGUAAAGGCCUACCAAGGCGACGAUCCGUAACUGGUCUGAGAGGAUGAUCAGUCACACUGGAACUGAGACACGGUCCAGACUCCUACGGGAGGCAGCAGUAGGGAAUAUUGGGCAAUGGGCGAAAGCCUGAUCCAGCCAUGCCGCGUGUGUGAAGAAGGUCUUCGGAUUGUAAAGCACUUUAAGUUGGGAGGAAGAGCAGUAAGUUAAUACCUUGCUGUUUUGACGUUACCAACAGAAUAAGCACCGGCUAACUUCGUG